GAGGACUCAGGGAGGAGGUGCUGGCCAUGAACCAGGAAGCAAGCCCUCGUCGAAUGGCAACCAUACCGGCUCCUUGACCUUGACUUCCCAGCUUCCAGAGCUGAAAUUCUAAGACACUCCAGUAAUUAAUAAUGAUGUCAACAGCCCAUCCAACUUGCUCUGAAAUAUAGUGUCUAGGAAUAUCGCACUGGCCCUUCAUCCAAAGUCUAAUUGUCUGAAAGAACUGCAUCCAAGAUGCUGUGACUCCGUGAGAUGAAACACAACAAGUGCGACGCUGCUCGGGAAGCAAGUGUUCAAGAAAGAGAAGAUUUCAUUAGGCUGAUUUGUCCCGGGGAAUGAGAUUAAGCAGAGCGUGCGCACCUCACACAGAGGUGGGAUUCCCAGCAGGAGUCGACCCCGUCGUCAAGAGGCCAUGGGGCAAAGGGACCGGCCUGUGUUGCAAUUCUGGUCACUGAAGCAGAAGUCAUGGGAGGGGCCCUACUUGGCUUCUAAACUGAGGCUCAAGAUCUCCUAAUGUCUUGCUUAAUAGGAGGCAGCUGUAUUCUCCUAUCUGCUUCUGCAUUCAAUUUGUUCCAAUAGCUCAUAUCAUGAAGCCUCUGGAAGACUCCACUAUACCAAUCCUGGGGGAAUGAGAGUGAGUGAGCAAAUGCCAUCUCAGGAGAUGUUCCCUGCAGCAUCGUUUUCAAUAGCCGAACACUGGAAACAAAUGGAUUGUGCAUCAAGAAAAGGAAGGAGGCAAAUUCCAGGAGGUCAAUGCCCUCUGCAAUUGUAGGAUGAACCCGGGAAAGAGCUGAAGGUCCUUGGCCAACACUGUUCUUUUGAUCUGGACAGUAGUCAUAGAUGUGUUCGCUUUGUGAAAUUUAUGAAGCUGUAUCCUUGU